rnacentral:rRNA from 1 species
ACCUACGGGGGGCAGCAGUGAGGAAUAUUGGUCAAUGGGCGCGAGCCUGAACUAGCCAAGUAGCGUGAAGGAUGACGGCCCUAUGGGUUGUAAACUUCUUUUAUAUGGGAAUAAAGUUUGGUAUGCAUACCAUUUUGUAUGUACCAUAUGAAUAAGGAUCGGCUAACUCCGUGCCAGCAGCCGCGGUAAUACGGAGGAUCCGAGCGUUAUCCGGAUUUAUUGGGUUUAAAGGGAGCGUAGGUGGAUUGUUAAGUCAGUUGUGAAAGUUUGCGGCUCAACCGUAAAAUUGCAGUUGAAACUGGCAG